AGAGUUUGAUCAUGGCUCAGAUUGAACGCUGGCGGCAGGCCUAACACAUGCAAGUCGAACGGUAACAUUUCUAGCUUGCUAGAAGAUGACGAGUGGCGGACGGGUGAGUAAUGCUUGGGAACUUGCCUUUGCGAGGGGGAUAACAGUUGGAAACGACUGCUAAUACCGCAUAAUGUCUUCGGACCAAACGGGGCUUCGGCUCCGGCGCAAAGAGAGGCCCAAGUGAGAUUAGCUAGUUGGUAAGGUAACGGCUUACCAAGGCGACGAUCUCUAGCUGUUCUGAGAGGAAGAUCAGCCACACUGGGACUGAGACACGGCCCAGACUCCUACGGGAGGCAGCAGUGGGGAAUAUUGCACAAUGGGGGAAACCCUGAUGCAGCCAUGCCGCGUGUGUGAAGAAGGCCUUCGGGUUGUAAAGCACUUUCAGUUGUGAGGAAAAGUUAGUAGUUAAUACCUGCUAGCCGUGACGUUAACAACAGAAGAAGCACCGGUUAACUCCGUGCCAGCAGCCGCGGUAAUACGGAGGGUGCGAGCGUUAAUCGGAAUUACUGGGCGUAAAGCGCACGCAGGCGGUUUGUUAAGCUAGAUGUGAAAGCCCCGGGCUCAACCUGGGAUGGUCAUUUAGAACUGGCAGACUAGAGUCUUGGAGAGGGGAGUGGAAUUCCAGGUGUAGCGGUGAAAUGCGUAGAUAUCUGGAGGAACAUCAGUGGCGAAGGCGACUCCCUGGCCAAAGACUGACGCUCAUGUGCGAAAGUGUGGGUAGCGAACA
rnacentral:rRNA from 1 species